rnacentral:lncRNA from 1 species
GAUUUGUUUAAAAUCGGGGUUUAAGAGGAAAAAAUUGGAAUUUAUCAGAUUUUUUAGGAUUGAAUUUAUCGGAUUUAUGGGAUUUUUUGGGGGGGGAAGAAAAAGUCAAUUUUUUUGGGGUGUAAAACGGCGUUUUCCGGGAAUUUUUGAGGGGAAAAACGGGAAUUUGGGGAAAAACGGGAAAUUAUGAUUUUUAAAAAGAGUCAGAGUCGAAAUGAAAAGAGGAAAAUUCACGAUUUUUAAAUUAAAUUUAAAAAAAACCCGUACAAAUAAAAAUUGUUUCCCGCCCCUCCCCCACCCUGGGGUUAAUUAAUUCAGGUUAAUUAAAUCAGGUUAAUUAAAUUAGGUUAAUUAAAUCCUCCCCCCGUUAAUGAGGGGUGGGGGGAGGAGCUGGGGGUCCUGGGAAAGGAGAUGGCCACGGUCACUCAGUGGUCACUCAGUGGUCUCUCAGGGGUCACUCAGGGGUCACUCAGUGCCCGGUGGUCACUCAGGGGUCACUCAGGGGUCACUCAGUGGUCACUCAGUGGUCACUCAGUGGUCAGUGGUCACUCAGGAGUCACUCAGGGGUCACUCAGGGGUCAGAGCCCGGUGGUCACUCAGGGGUCACUCAGAGCCCUGUGGUCACUCAGUGUCCGGUGGUCACUCAGGGAUCACUCAGGGGUCACUCAGGGAUCACUCAGGGGUCACUCAGCGGUCACUCAGGGGUCAGAGCCCGGUGGUCACUCAGUGUCUGGUGGUCACUCAGGGAUCACUCAGGGGUCACUCAGCGGUCACUCAGCGGUCACUCAGGGGUCAGAGCCCGGUGGUCACUCAGUGUCCGGUGCAGGUGGCCGAAGUCCGGCCGCUCGGCCGCCUCUCGGGCCCAGCAGUUCAACAUCAGCCGGUGCAGGGCGGGGGGGCAGCCGGGGGGGCAGGGCAGGUACUGCUGGGAACUGGGGUUACUGGGAUGGACUGGGA